rnacentral:rRNA from 1 species
ACUCAAAUGAAUUGACGGGGCCCCGCACAAGCAGCGGAGCGUGUUGCUUAAUUCGAUGCGACGCGAAGAACCUUACCUGGGCUUGACAUGCAGGGAAAAGCCGCAGAGAUGCGGUGUCCUUCGGGGCCUUGCACAGGUGGUGCAUGGCUGUCGUCAGCUCGUGUCGUGAGAUGUUGGGUUAAGUCCCGCAACGAGCGCAACCCUUUUCCUAUGUUGCCAGCGGAUUAUGCCGGGGACUCGUAGGAGACUGCCGGGGUCAACUCGGAGGAAGGUGGGGACGAAGUCAAGUCAUCAUGCCCCUUAUGUCCAGGGCUGCAAACACGCUACAAUGGCCGGUACAAAGGGCAGCGAUCCCGCGAGGGUGAGCGAAUCCCACAAAGCCGGUCUCAGUUCGGAUUGGAGUCUGCAACUCGACUCCAUGAAGCUGGAGUUGCUAGUAAUCCCGGAUCAGCACGCCGGGGUGAAUACGUUCCCGGGGCUUGUACACACCGCCCGU